rnacentral:rRNA from 1 species
AUUCCAGCUCCAAUAGCGUAUAUUAAAGUUGUUGCUGUUAAAAAGCUCGUAGUUGGACUUCUGGGCCGUUUUGUUGGUCUGCCGCAAGGCUGCACUAGCGGGAUGGCCCAUCCUCUCGAAGGCUGGGGGUGCUCUUAACUGGGUGCUUUCAGAACUCGGGAUCUUUACUUUGAAAAAAUUAGAGUGUUCAAAGCAGGCUUACGCUUGAAUACAUUAGCAUGGAAUAAUGGAAUAGGACUUUGGUUCUAUUUUGUUGGUUUCUAGAACUGAAGUAAUGAUUAAUAGGGAUAGUUGGGGGCAUUAGUAUUUAAUUGUCAGAGGUGAAAUUCUUGGAUUAUGAAAGACUAACUUCUGCGAAAGCAUUUGCCAAGGAUGUUUUCAUUG